rnacentral:lncRNA from 1 species
CCUUGUUAAACGAUAACGUGUUGCACAAAUAGGACUCUCCUGGAUGCAGAAAAUUCAUGACCAGUUGGGUCGGACUGGGCGUGUUUGUUCUGCCUCCCGCCCCUGUCUUCUCUCCAGGGAGGACUGACCGCUAUGCUACGCUGCGUAGAGUCAGCUGGAGAAGGAAGCAUGCGUGUGAGCAGGGAAGAUACACGCACAGAGAUGCGCACUGCGGCUCCUUUGGGCCUCAUUCCCAUCCAGCAUUCACCAUGGCCCUGCGGUCAGAGCUCAGCUGCACCCAGGAUGCGAGCAAGUUGGGUGAGACUCAAAAUGAGUACAAGACAAGUGUGUUGCGUCGGCCCAGAGAAGCUGUGCUGCUGUCCCAAUCUGAGCUUGCUUUGAACACAGAAAGGGCAAUCGCAUUUUCUGAAUCAUGAAUGACCAAGGAUCCCCAUCAUAUCCUUUCUUGCUCAUGUAGUUCUGUGUAGUAGCCAACACAUGGGCUAAGAAAAAAAAAAAAAAAAAAAAAGGGAAAGGUGGAGGCAAACCCCGGUUCCUUUCCUUGCAGUCCUUCCUCACCCAUCAACAAGGGGAAGGUGGAGUGUGGCUGGAAUGUGUGUGUAUCAAGAAAUGAAAUAAAAAG